GCCGUGUGCCUGCCCUGCUCAUAAACAGAUGGCGAUCCAAGGAAGCAAAAAAAAAGGGAGGGUGGAGAAGCUAAAAUACAAAAGACCAACGUUUUCACCAAUUGUCAUCCACCGAGCCCAUCUGCAGAAGCCAAAAUAAACCAAAGUUCCCCAAACGCCAGACCAGCACAUUGACCACAAGGUGCUUUGACCUCCUUUUCCUGAGACUGUUUUGCAGCAAUACUUCCAUUCUCCUCUUCCUCAUCUUCCUGCUCUGGGAUGCUCCG